rnacentral:rRNA from 1 species
GUGGGGAAUAUUGGACAAUGGGCGAAAGCCUGAUCCAGCCAUGCCGCGUGUGUGAAGAAGGUCUUCGGAUUGUAAAGCACUUUAAGUUGGGAGGAAGGGCAUUAACCUAAUACGUUAGUGUUUUGACGUUACCGACAGAAUAAGCACCGGCUAACUUCGUGCCAGCAGCCGCGGUAAUACGAAGGGUGCAAGCGUUAAUCGGAAUUACUGGGCGUAAAGCGCGCGUAGGUGGUUCGUUAAGUUGGAUGUGAAAGCCCCGGGCUCAACCUGGGAACUGCCUCCAAAACUGCAUGACUAGAGUACGGUAGAGGGUAGUGGAAUUUCCUGUGUAGCGGUGAAAUGCGUAGAUAUAGGAAGGAACACCAGUGGCGAAGGCGACUACCUGGACUGAUACUGACACUGAGGUGCGAAAGCGUGGGGAUCAAACAGGAUUAGAAACCCUUGUAGUCC